rnacentral:rRNA from 1 species
UUGACCUCAAAUCGGGUGAGACUACCCGCUGAACUUAAGCAUAUCAAUAAGCGGAGGAAAAGAAACUAACAAGGAUUCCCCUAGUAACUGCGAGUGAAGCGGGAAAAGCUCAAAUUUAAAAUCUGGUGGCCUCUGGUCACCCGAGUUGUAAUUUAGAGAAGCGUCUUCCGCGCUGGACCGUGCACAAGUCUCCUGGAAUGGAGCGUCAUAGAGGGUGAGAAUCCCGUCUUUGGCACGGACACACCAGGGCUUUUGUGAUGCGCUCUCAAAGAGUCGAGUUGUUUGGGAAUGCAGCUCAAAAUGGGUGGUGAACUCCAUCUAAAGCUAAAUAUUGGCGAGAGACCGAUAGCGAACAAGUACCGUGAGGGAAAGAUGAAAAGCACUUUGGAAAGAGAGUGAAACAGUACGUGAAAUUGUUGAAAGGGAAACGCUUGAAGUCAGUCGCGUUGACCGAGACUCAGCCUUGCCUUGGCUUGGUGUACUUCUCGGCCAACGGGCCAGCAUCAAUUUUGCCCCUCGGAUAAUGGCAAGGGAAAGGUAGCACCUUUAUAGGUGUGUUAUAGUCUCCUGUCGCAUACGAGGGUUGGGAUUGAGGAACUCUGCACGUACGUGCUUAGGAUGCUGGCAUAAUGGCUUUAAACGACCCGUCUUGAAACACGGACCAAGGAGUCUAACGUGCCCGCGAGUGUUCGGGUGGAAAACCCGUGCGCGUAAUGAAAGUGAAAGUUGGGACCUCUGUCGUGGGGGGCACCGACGCCCGGACCAGACCUUCUGUGACGGAUCUGCGGUAGAGCGUGCAUGUUGGGACCCGAAAGAUGGUGAACUAUGCCUGAAUAGGGUGAAGCCAGAGGAAACUCUGGUGGAGGCUCGUAGCGAUUCUGACGUGCAAAUCGAUCGUCAAAUUUGGGUAUAGGGGCGAAAGACUAAUCGAACCAUCUAGUAGCUGGUUCCUGC